AUGUGCUAGGCGGGGAGUUAGCGGUGCCCUGUAACCCGGAAUCCGCUAUACCGGGGCUGAAUUCCCACCCGAGGUUUGAUGCGGCUUGUGUUCUUGCCGCAAGUGGCGUUGAUAACCGGGUCCCGCACAACCGAAGAUCGCCGAACCCCGUCAGGACCGGAAGGUAGCAGCGGUAAGCGAACCCCCGGUGUGUUGCGGGGAAGCUCGGUUUGAGUUAACUACGGUAAGGCAUUUGCCUGCGGAGAGCCAAAGGUGGGUGCACAA
rnacentral:SRP_RNA from 1 species